UAGGGCAGGUGGCCCGGGGAAGAGCCUGCUGGGGGCUGGCGGGUGGGGCUAUCCCACUACAGCCGAAGCCAGGAUUACCUACUGAGAAGUAGAAGCCUCACUGUCUUGAAGUUCAUUCCCCUUUCUUCUCUGAAAUGGACGCAUUAAGAUGUCAUGAGAUACCCUCACUUCAUAGCACAACCUCUGGAACCUGGGCUGCUGUGUGGCACAGCUCUGGAACCUUCUGCUACCCACCACCAAGAUGGAACCCAAGUAUUAUAGUCUCUUGACAUUUCUUGUGAACUUUCCAAG